rnacentral:misc_RNA from 1 species
AAUCACCGAUCUGCAGACUGCAGCCAUGGCCAUGAGGGCAAUCACGCUGUCCCACUCGCAGAGCGCCUCGUUUGGGCACCACCACCACCAAACCAUGCCGUCCUCCUUCAGGCCAAGCACUGCCUCCACCAGAUCAGUGAAGGUCUACGCAAAGGAAGAUGAGGAGAAGGGCAGCAAGCAGUCAUUGUUCGGGAGCAUCACCGAGGCGCUGGACUUCUCGCAGGUCCGGUCGGAGAAGGACGCGGAGCUUCUGUAUGAAGCCAGAGAGGCCACAAAGGAUGGAGGAAGGAUGACAAAGGAGCAGUAUGGAGCACUUCGGAGGAAGAUCGGUGGCACCUACAAGGAUUUCUUCAAGUCAUAUGUGGAUGUUGACGGGGAAUACGUAGAGGAAGGUUGGGUGGAUAAGACCUGCAAAGUUUGCAAGAAGGACACUAGAGGGGAACCCAGGCAGGUCGACAAGCUAGGAAGAUAUGCACAUGUCGCAUGCUUGGAGAACCCAAAACCGACCAACAUCUUCGCCAAAUUGUUCGCCAGAUGAACUUCAAUUG